rnacentral:rRNA from 1 species
UACGAAGGGUGCAAGCGUUGUUCGGAAUCAUUGGGCGUAAAGCGCGCGCAGGCGGAUUAGUAAGUCAGAUGUGAAAUCUCGGAGCUCAACUCCGAAACUGCGUCUGAAACUACUAGUCUAGAAUGUCGGAGGGGGCAGGGGAAUUUCACGUGUAGGGGUAAAAUCCGUAGAGAUGUGAAGGAACACCGGAGGCGAAGGCGCCUGCCUGGACGACUAUUGACGCUGAGGCGCGAAGGCGUGGGGAGCAAACAGG